GCAGUCAUUGUAUAAUGGCUAUUACCUCAGCCUUCCAAGCUGAUGAUGCGGGUUCGAUUCCCGCUGGCUGCUCCA
rnacentral:tRNA from 2 species